rnacentral:rRNA from 1 species
GAUGAACGCUGGCGGCGUGCCUAAUACAUGCAAGUCGAGCGAACGGACGAGAAGCUUGCUUCUCUGAUGUUAGCGGCGGACGGGUGAGUAACACGUGGAUAACCUACCUAUAAGACUGGGAUAACUUCGGGAAACCGUAGCUAAUACCGGAUAAUAUUUUGAACCGCAUGGUUCAAAAGUGAAAGACGGUCUUGCUGUCACUUAUAGAUGGAUCCGCGCUGCAUUAGCUAGUUGGUAAGGUAACGGCUUACCAAGGCAACGAUGCAUAGCCGACCUGAGAGGGUGAUCGGCCACACCGGAACUGAGACACGGUCCAGACUCCUACGGGAGGCAGCAGUAGGGAAUCUUCCGCAAUGGGCGAAAGCCUGACGGAGCAACGCCGCGUGAGUGAUGAAGGUCUUCGGAUCGUAAAACUCUGUUAUUAGGGAAGAACAUAUGUGUAAGUAACUGUGCACAUCUUGACGGUACCUAAUCAGAAAGCCACGGCUAACUACGUG